CGAAAUGUAGCUUAACCAAAGCAUCUCGCUUACACCGAGAAAAUGUUUAUUAAACCAGACCAUCUCGA
rnacentral:tRNA from 1 species